CAGGUGGUCAGGUAGAGAAUACCAAGGCGCUUGAGAGAACUCGGGUGAAGGAACUAGGCAAAAUGGUGCCGUAACUUCGGGAGAAGGCACGCUGAUAUGUAGGUGAAGUGAUUUACUCAUGGAGCUGAAAUCAGUCGAAGAUACCAGCUGGCUGCAACUGUUUAUUAAAAACACAGCACUGUGCAAACACGAAAGUGGACGUAUACGGUGUGACGCCUGCCCGGUGCCGGAAGGUUAAUUGAUGGGGUUAUCCGUAAGGAGAAGCUCUUGAUCGAAGCCCCGGUAAACGGCGGCCGUAACUAUAACGGUCCUAAGGUAGCGAAAUUCCUUGUCGGGUAAGUUCCGACCUGCACGAAUGGCGUAAUGAUGGCCAGGCUGUCUCCACCCGAGACUCAGUGAAAUUGAACUCGCUGUGAAGAUGCAGUGUACCCGCGGCAAGACGGAAAGACCCCGUGAACCUUUACUAUAGCUUGACACUGAACACUGGUCCUUGAUGUGUAGGAUAGGUGGGAGGCUUUGAAGUGUGGACGCCAGUCUGCAUGGAGCCAACCUUGAAAUACCACCCUUUAAUGGCUGGUGUUCUAACGUAGACCCGUGAUCCGGGUUGCGGACAGUGUCUGGUGGGUAGUUUGACUGGGGCGGUCUCCUCCUAAAGAGUAACGGAGGAGCACGAAGGUUAGCUAAUCCUGGUCGGACAUCAGGAGGUUAGUGCAAAGGCAUAAGCUAGCUUGACUGCGAGAGUGACGGCUCGAGCAGGUGCGAAAGCAGGUCUUAGUGAUCCGGUGGUUCUGAAUGGAAGGGCCAUCGCUCAACGGAUAAAAGGUACUCCGGGGAUAACAGGCUGAUACCGCCCAAGAGUUCAUAUCGACGGCGGUGUUUGGCACCUCGAUGUCGGCUCAUCACAUCCUGGGGCUGAAGUAGGUCCCAAGGGUAUGGCUGUUCGCCAUUUAAAGUGGUACGCGAGCUGGGUUUAGAACGUCGUGAGACAGUUCGGUCCCUAUCUGCCGUGGGCGCUGGAGAAUUGAGGGGGGCUGCUCCUAGUACGAGAGGACCGGAGUGGACGCAUCACUGGUGUUCGGGUUGUCAUGCCAAUGGCAUUGCCCGGUAGCUAAAUGCGGAAGAGAUAAGUGCUGAAAGCAUCUAAGCACGAAACUUGC
rnacentral:rRNA from 1 species